rnacentral:rRNA from 1 species
AAUGAACGCUGGCGGCAGGCCUAACACAUGCAAGUCGAACGGAUCCCUCGGGAUUAGUGGCGGACGGGUGAGUAACGCGUGGGAACAUACCCUUUGGUACGGAAUAGCCUCGGGAAACUGGGAGUAAUACCGUAUGUGGUCGAGAGACGAAAGAUUUAUCGCCAAAGGAUUGGCCCGCGUUGGAUUAGGUAGUUGGUGGGGUAAUGGCCUACCAAGCCGACGAUCCAUGGCUGGUUUGAGAGGAUGAUCAGCCACACUGGGACUGAGACACGGCCCAGACUCCUACGGGAGGCAGCAGUGGGGAAUCUUAGACAAUGGGGGAAACCCUGAUCUAGCCAUGCCGCGUGAUCGAUGAAGGCCUUAGGGUUGUAAAGAUCUUUCAGGUGGGAAGAUAAUGACUGUACCACCAGAAGAAGCCCCGGCUAACUCCGUGCCAGCAGCCGCCGUAA